UGGGGUGUAGCCCAGAAGUAGAGUUCUUGCCUAGCAUGCAUGAAGCCCUAGGUUCAAUCCCCAGCAUCACAA
rnacentral:tRNA from 1 species